rnacentral:lncRNA from 1 species
AUGUACAAACGUCUCUCACAAAGUGCAAACUGCUGCCAUUGUGUCAACACUGUUGAUCUCAUCUGAGACACUAUGGCCUGCUUCUUUCACAGACAGACUUACAGACCCACGUGAGCACUCGAGAUGUUGUCAGGUGCUUCCAGAACCAGAUUAACCCCAGCUCCCAUCCCAGUGCCUUCACCACUCCUAAUCCCAGUCCCAAUCCCAAUCGGACUCCCACUUUCACAUCCAAUGCAAUUACCGGAGAAGGAGAUCAGAGGCCAGAGAAAGGACCCGAGGCUGCGGCAAAAUCUAUGCAACUUCCCCCUGAUCCCAGCCGGGUGUCGGCUGUGCAUCACAGAGAACUUCUUAGAGGAGAGUACAAUGAGGAGGAGUCUACGAGAUCAUUCCAGGAAGCUCUCAGACAGUGGAGAGGAGAGAAGAGUGAAGGAGCCGGAGAUCCCAUGAGUGAGGAUGCAAUGUGGACACCUACCAGACCAGUAUCAGUGUCAGCUAUGGCGACCCAGGCUGACCUCGCUCCAGUCAGAGGAGCUGAAGGACGAGGAGGGGGAGAAGGGAGCGUACCUGUCAGGGUGGAGUUCACAGAACACAGCCUUACCUACAUGGACAGAUUGCUUCUCAAGAAGCACCGCAGGAUGCCAAUCGAAACUUAUCGUCCAUCGUUGGCCUUUGGUACGGAUUUAAAAUCACCACCUAAAACAAAUACUGGGGAGGAGACUGCAAGCCUAACAGCUCAGGAGGAGGAUUUUCUUCGCUACUGUGCAUCAUUGUUUGCUGUCCCUGUCAGCAGCGGCAGGACUGAGCCUCAGAUUACUAAACCUGAAUCGUGCCUGGUCAUAGAAGUUCUGGAUGAGGUGAGAAGGACCGAAGCGUUUCAUUUGAACAAACGUGA